AGCGGCGGACGGGUGAGUAACGCGUGGGUAACCUGCCCUGUACACACGGAUAACAUACCGAAAGGUAUGCUAAUACGAGAUAAUAUGCUUUUGUCGCAUGGUAGAAGUAUCAAAGUUUUUGCGGUACAGGAUGGACCCGCGUCUGAUUAGCUAGUUGGUAAGGUAACGGCUUACCAAGGCGACGAUCAGUAGCCGACCUGAGAGGGUGAUCGGCCACAUUGGAACUGAGACACGGUCCAAACUCCUACGGGAGGCAGCAGUGGGGAAUAUUGCACAAUGGGCGAAAGCCUGAUGCAGCAACGCCGCGUGAGCGAUGAAGGCCUUCGGGUCGUAAAGCUCUGUCCUCAAGGAAGAUAAUGACGGUACUUGAGGAGGAAGCCCCGGCUAACUACGUGCCAGCAGCCGCGGUAAUGCGUAGGGGGCUAGCGUUAUCCGGAAUUACUGGGCGUAAAGGGUGCGUAGGUGGUUUCUUAAGUCAGAGGUGAAAGGCUACGGCUCAACCGUAGUAAGCCUUUGAAACUGGGAAACUUGAGUGCAGGAGAGGAGAGUGGAAUUCCUAGUGUAGCGGUGAAAUGCGUAGAUAUUAGGAGGAACACCAGUUGCGAAGGCGGCUCUCUGGACUGUAACUGACACUGAGGCACGAAAGCGUGGGGAGCAAACAGGAUUAGAUACCCUGGUAGUCCACGCCGUAAACGAUGAGUACUAGCUGU
rnacentral:rRNA from 1 species